AAAACUCCAACACUAGAAUGGAGGGAAACCCUAGCGCUCCCCGUCACCCGACUCUUUCCUUUCCCCAUUCACUUUCACCUACAGAUGGAGCGAGCGGCAAUCUACUCAUGACCCGCCACAGAAAUGCCCCACCGGAGAGAUUUCUACUUUUGUAGGGUUUUGUUUUGCUACCUCAGUUCUGAACAUUGAAACCAUUACUGCCACAAGGGGAGCUUUUUAGUAAUUUAUUCGUUUCGGGGUUGGAAUUUACGAUGGCGAGGUUACUAGGCAGAUCUUCUAUUAGACGCUCUCUGUUUAGGAACCUGCAGGAGUCUAGGGAGAGUUUCUUGGAAACACAGGUGCAGCAGCUAUGUAGCUUUUCCACAAAAGGUCGAAAGAAAUCAAAGUCACCGUCUAGUGAUUCUGGGGAAGAAAACAUGUCCAAGAAAGACUUAUCCUUGAAGUUAGCUAUGGAUCAGAUCCAAGCAUCAUUUGGACAAGAAUCCUUAAUGUGGCUUGGCCGCCAAUCUUCCUCUUCAGAGAAGGCUCCAGUAAUAUCUACUGGAUCAUUUGCUUUGGAUAUUGCCUUGGGAAUAGGAGGUUUUCCAAAGGGUCGUGUUGUGGAGAUAUAUGGACCAGAGGCUUCUGGGAAGACCACUAUUUCGUUGCAUGUGAUUGCUGAGGCACAAAAGCAAGGAGGUUACUGUGCCUUUGUUGAUGCUGAGCACUCUCUCGAUCCAGCUUUAGCUGAGUCUAUUGGAGUGAACACCAAAAACUUGCUUGUGUCACAACCAGAUUGUGGUGAGCAAGCUCUAAGUUUGGUGGAUACCCUAAUCCGAAGUGGCUCACUUGACGUUAUUGUGGUAGAUAGUGUAGCUGCUCUGGUUCCAAAGGGCGAGCUUGAUGGAGAAAUGGGAGAUGCUCACAUGGCGAUGCAAGCUAGACUUAUGAGCCAGGCACUGCGCAAACUGACCCAUUCUCUGUCCCUUUCACAAACAAUAUUAAUAUUUACCAAUCAGGUGCGAGCUACAAUAUCCACUUUUGGAGGAUUUGGCGGCCCCUCCGAAGUUACUUGUGGUGGGAAUGCAUUGAAAUUCUACGCUUCGUUACGACUAAAUGUUAGGAGAAUUGGACAGGUCAAGAAAGGAGAGGAGGUUAUUGGAAACCGAGUUAUGGUUAAGAUAAUGAAGAACAAGCAUGCACCUCCUUACAAAACUGCCGAGUUUGAGCUGGAAUUUGGGAAGGGUAUCAGUCGAGAGGUCGAGCUUAUAGUUUUGGGAUGCAAAUACAAGUUCAUCAGGCAAGCUGCCUCGUUCUUUUAUAUGAAUGAUCAGACUUUCCGAGGCAAGGAUGCUCUGAAGAACUUCCUUGCCGAAAACACAAGUGCAAGAUUAGAACUGGAGAAAAAGAUAAAAGACAAGCUUGUUUCAGCUGUCGACGAGACUGCUACUCCAUCCGAAUCUAUUGAUCAAGAAGCUGUUGAGGCCACAGCAUGAGUGUGUGAAUGAAAAUGCUCUGAAGAAGGGCCACCCUUUCACCAGUUUUUUCGGGCUUCUUCCUUCCUAUGCAGCCAGCUGUUGGUGGUUGUGUCAUUGACAAAUGGUGAUGGUGAUGGAGAUGGAGAAAGGUCGUGGAAGACGACGAUUUAUGGGACGAAUGAAAAGUCCCAUGUUCUUUGCAAAGUCGGAAUCCAUCCAAAAGUGACUGACACGCACGCGCCAGCCAUUGUUCUUGUUCUUUACUUAUUCAGGGUAGAAAGAAGACUCAAAAGAAGUUUCCUCAUCUGUUUGGAAUGGUAGUCCAGACGUAGAAUAUCUAUUUUAUUUUUUUUAUUUUUUAUUUUUUUAAGUAUACAUAAAUAUAUUUAUUUAUAUCAAUACUUUCACGUUAAUUUUAUAC